CCGCAAUGCAGUUAAUACCUUCAAGUCUUCAACCCUUUCGACUUCACGUAAAUCCAACCUAAUCGACACCAGCCUUCAAUUCUGCAAACCUACAGGGAAAUCAAGCGAAUUGGACUUCAAUUCUUCCUUCAAUUCGAUUUCGGUUUCGGUUUCAAAGAAGUAACGCUAAUUUCAAUCGUUAGGGUUUUGCUAGAUAUAAUCACGAGGAGAUGAGAGGUUUUGGCAUCACAAUGAAGCCCCGAGAUCGAGUGAUGGACUGUCGAUGAGCACAUGAAACAGUAGGAAUGUGACUCUGCCUCUUUUGAAGCAUAUAUAAGAAGAGCAAAGAUCUGAGCUUAUGGUUGAAUCUGGCAUACAUGGCGUUGAAUUGACUGAAGAACGUGUACCGAAAACUUCGGUUGAUGAAGAUGACAGUGUGUACCGUGACAAGUGCAAUACAUCGAUUGUCAAUUCUCACAGAAGCUGCCCAAGUCCCGAUUGCUCGUACGAUAUUUGUCUCAAUUGCUGUCGUGAACUAAGAGACGGCAUCCAGCCUGGCGGUAUGGAACCCGAAUCUUCUUUCCAACAGUUUCUUGAACAUUCUCAACUUCAGGAUGCCGAACCAAACACACAGUUUUUUGGUUGGAAAGCCGAUUUUAAACCAGAAACUUCAAUAACCGACAAUUUGUUAGAUUUCCCUAUUUGGAAAGCAAACUUGAACUGAAGCAUACCCUGCCCUCCAAAGCUCGUGGAGGUUGUGGUAUCGGAAUGCUAGAAUUGAAAAGAAUAUACGAAGCUCAAGCUCCGUACCUUCCCAACGACAACCUUCGCUACCGCCGAUAAGCUCUAUCAAGCACCACCGUAAUGUCGUAAUGUCCACAAGCUCAAGCUCAAGCUCCAACCAGAUUAAGACUGAUAAAGUGAGCGAUCUUUCGCUACGAGGCUUCUGAGCAAGACGUAAGGGAGUUCUUUUCCUUUUCGGGAGAUAUUGUUUAUGUUGACACACCAAGGUUAGUGUACCAGAUAAGUUUUAUCUUCUGGGAUUUUAUAUAUGUUACGUAGCGCGCCAAUACCGUUGAGUAGAUAUAAACUUAUUUGAAGUAAAUGCAUAAAUACAAUUACAUGGUAUGCAUAUGAAAUAUUACAUGAAGUUUCAAUUGACAUAUGCUGCUGUUAUAUCAAAGAUUUUUUUACUUCUUUAUCUAUGAAUCUCUAUCCCGAUAGAGAGAGAGAGAGAGAGAUGGGGUGUCGGCUGUUUUGGGCAAGCCCAUCAGUCCAACGGAGAUAAAUGGAAGAUUAUUUUUAUGUUGUUUUGUUUGGUAUUCAUGUUUCAUCUGGCUAACUCACAUAUUAUUGUAUGUUUAUGGAAUCAGUGAAUAAUGAGAAUUUGUAGGUGGGAGUUCUCAUUGAAGAGCCUUUUCAGAUGCUUUCUCUAGACAAGCUCUGCAUUCAAGUGUGUGAAAAUGUACAAGAGGCGAUGAAAAGUGAGGAGAAGAUUCAAAAACUUUACUUAUGAAAAAAGAGGCUGCAUCUAGGGAUCCAUCUAACAGUAGCUGUCCGUCAUCAAGCUAAGUGAUUAAGUGUUUACAAGCUCAUGUGCUGUUCGUGGUGGUUCUCUGAGACCCGUUUACCACAUUUUGGCUUCUUAUUACACGAAAAUAACGGAAAUGUAGAAUGUCCUAAAAGAAUGUCCUGUUGUAGUCAUGGGUUUGUAUAUGGUUAGUAUUUUUGUUAGUAAACAGUUUAGUUCUUCAUGAAAAGAAAUGUGCUUGUGUUCUGUUA